CACGUAGGGUGCGAGCGUUGUCCGGAAUUAUUGGGCGUAAAGAGCUCGUAGGCGGUGUGUCGCGUCGGCCGUGAAAACCUGCAGCUUAACUAUGGGCUUGCGGUCGAUACGGGCAUCACUGGAGUUCGGCAGGGGAGACUGGAAUUCCUGGUGUAGCGGUGAAAUGCGCAGAUAUCAGGAGGAACACCGGUGGCGAAGGCGGGUCUCUGGGCCGAUGACUGACGCUGAGGAGCGAAAGCGUGGGGAGCGAACAGG
rnacentral:rRNA from 1 species